CCCCUCAUAGCUCAAUGGCAGAGCAGUCGGCUGUAGACCGAUGUGUCCUGGUUCAAGUCCGGGUGAGGGGA
rnacentral:tRNA from 1 species